rnacentral:misc_RNA from 1 species
GUCAACUGUACUUGAACAGUACAUUUGGUGACCGUCAAGCAGCGUGUCCCGUGUACGAUUUGGCGCGCUUUUUUGACAUUUUUAUUUUUAAUUUAUGACCACAGACUAUCUAUGAGUUUCACAUUUUUUUUGAUUACCACAGACUAUCUAUGAGUUAUCGAAUUGUGUACGAAAGUGAAUUAACAUAUAUCGUGCUGUGAGAGUGAAUGUGAAACUAUGUGUUGCAUAAGAGAUUAUAUUUUCGGAUGUUGAUUUAUGAUGCUUCACAUUUGACGUACGUUACAC